rnacentral:misc_RNA from 1 species
GAAAUGCGAUAAGUAAUGUGAAUUGCAGAAUUCAGUGAAUCAUCGAAUCUUUGAACGCACCUUGCGCUCCUUGGUAUUCCUUGGAGCAUGCCUGUUUGAGUAUCAUGAAAUCUUCAAAGUAAAUCUUUUGUUAACUCAAUUGGUUUCUACUUUGGUAUUGGAGGUCUUUGCAGCUUCACACCUGCUCCUCUUUGUUCAUUAGCUGGAUCUCAGUGUUAUGCUUGGUUCCACUCGGCGUAAUAAGUUAUCUAUCGCUGAGGACACUGUAAAAGGUGGCCAAGGUAAAUGCAGAUGAACCACUUCUAAUAGUCCAUUGACUUGGACAAUACUUUUAUGAUCUGAUCUCAAAUCAGGUAGGACUACCCGCUGAACUUAAGC